rnacentral:tRNA from 1 species
AUUUAUAUAGUUUAAAAAAAACAUUAUAUUUUCAAUAUAAAAAUAAAAAAAUUUUAUAAAUU